rnacentral:lncRNA from 1 species
GUCUGUGUAUAAUACUCCUCAGUGAAUGAUGAAUGUGAAUAUGUUUCUGCCUGUGGAUCACUUUUAAAAUAUUUGCCCUAGCUUCAUUAGUGGGGUAAUUAACACCAGUCACCAAAUGCAUUGCCUCGUGAACGGGGAACCCCUAAGAAACUUCAGGGUGGCUGCCCAAGUCUAGCUAACAGAAUACAGCUCUGCAGGGGCUCUAGUAAGACAGGACAUUUCUGUGCAUAGCCCAGCGAGUCUCAGAUGUUUUGCAAACUAAACACUUGUUCAAAUAAAAAAGGAAUAGUGGGAACUGGAGCCUGUUCUGUGGGGGACCUGCCAGUCUUCCUCGGGGUUUUGCAACCUCCCUGAUGCAUCCUGUGCUCUUUUCACUGUCGUCUCGUCCAUAGAGUGUGUUUGUGCGUGAAAACAGGGGACGAGUUCUGUACUGAGUCACGCUGCAAUCUGCUAGAAACAGUGAUCUUUGGAGUUUACAACUGUUACCUGUGUCAAAGAAACAGAGACUAAAAAUGAGUGUAAGAGCAGAGAAUACCUGCAGCCAUCACAGGGUGCGAGGACAUGAAAAAGACCCAACAGCAGCAAAUAAGAAGAUGUGAGCUAUGCUAUGCUCACAGUGGAAUCAUUAGGAAUUUUACCAUGAGAACAGAACGGAGUUGUUCUUUCAGCAUUUCAGUACCCAUCACCAUAUUAUCUAGGCGCCACCAUAAGAUUAAGAAGCUCUGUAGUGACAUUCUCAACAUGAUCUGCUCAGAGGUCAUUAGCAGCGCCUUUCAUACUGGCAAGGAUCGGAGGAGAGCAAGGAAGUGCGCAGCAGCAGGAGAGAAAAAGGAAAAGAGGCGAAAAGUUAUUUCGUCAGCUUUUGCUGUUGC